rnacentral:rRNA from 1 species
CAGCAGUAGGGAAUCUUCCACAAUGGACGAAAGUCUGAUGGAGCAACGCCGCGUGAGUGAAGAAGGUUUUCGGAUCGUAAAACUCUGUUGUUGGAGAAGAAUGUAUCUGAUAGUAACUGAUCAGGUAGUGACGGUAUCCAACCAGAAAGCCACGGCUAACUACGUGCCAGCAGCCGCGGUAAUACGUAGGUGGCAAGCGUUGUCCGGAUUUAUUGGGCGUAAAGCGAGCGCAGGCGGUUUCUUAAGUCUGAUGUGAAAGCCUUCGGCUCAACCGAAGAAGUGCAUCGGAAACUGGGAAACUUGAGUGCAGAAGAGGACAGUGGAACUCCAUGUGUAGCGGUGAAAUGCGUAGAUAUAUGGAAGAACACCAGUGGCGAAGGCGGCUGUCUGGUCUGUAACUGACGCUGAGGCUCGAAAGCAUGGGUAGCAAACAGGAUUAGAUACCCUGGUAGUCCAUGCCGUAAACGAUGAGUGCUAGGUGUUGGAGGGUUUCCGCCCUUCAGUGCCGCAGCUAACGCAUUAAGCACUCCGCCUGGGGAGUACGACCGCAAGGUUGAAACUCAAAGGAAUUGACGGGGGCCCGCACAAGCGGUGGAGCAUGUGGUUUAAUUCGAAGCAACGCGAAGAACCUUACCAGGUCUUGACAUCCUUUGACCACUCUAGAGAUAGAGCUUUCCCUUCGGGGACAAAGUGACAGGUGGUGCAUGGUUGUCGUCAGCUCGUGUCGUGAGAUGUUGGGUUAAGUCCCGCAACGAGCGCAACCCUUAUUACUAGUUGCCAGCAUUUAGUUGGGCACUCUAGUGAGACUGCCGGUGACAAACCGGAGGAAGGUGGGGACGACGUCAAAUCAUCAUGCCCCUUAUGACCUGGGCUACACACGUGCUACAAUGGAUGGUACAACGAGUUGCGAGACCGCGAGGUUUAGCUAAUCUCUUAAAACCAUUCUCAGUUCGGAUUGUAGGCUGCAACUCGCCUACAUGAAGCCGGAAUCGCUAGUAAUCGCGGAUCAGCAUGCCGCGGUGAAUACGUUCCCGGGCCUUGUACACACCGCCCGUCACACCAUGAGAGUUUGUAACACCCAAAGCCGGUGAGGUAACCCUUCGGGGAGCCAGCCGUCUAAGG